rnacentral:misc_RNA from 1 species
GUACUCUCAAUCCUACAAUUUUUGUUGUACGGAUUGGACUUGGGUCCUGUUGCGCUCUGCAACUGAUUCGAAAUGUAUCAGCGUGUGUCCGUCGUGACGAUGAACCGAUUGUUAAGUUUCAUCGGGCUCGCUUUGUCGAGGUCGUCUGACGAAAUGCAUGCCUAACCCUCCUAUACUUUGACAAUUCGACCUCAAAUCGGGUGGAUCACCCGCUGAC